ACACUGCUGAGGAGUCCCACAAUGGGACGAAACGGCCGUACAGUGU
rnacentral:hammerhead_ribozyme from 1 species